GCAAAAUGUAACACAGACUACAAAGUUUAGGGCGUUCCCCAACAGGCGGCCACCAGCCGCCACGUCAUCUAGCUCGUGAGCCCCACAUCGGAAAACCCGUGUGAAGCCCAUCCAUCCAAGCCCCACGUGUCCACCGCGCGGCCUGAGCCCGCCGCCAGCCCCGACAGCUCGAACCCCGCCCAAAAGUCCUCCUCCUCCACCACCGCCGCCGUCACCGUCUUAUCACUCCGUGGCUGGAGCUGCGCGGCGGCGAUGGCGGCGGCCUGGAUGUCCUUGGGGCUCGCGGUGGCGGGAAAUGGGAGGAGGUGGGC
rnacentral:misc_RNA from 1 species